rnacentral:rRNA from 1 species
UACGAAGGGGGCUAGCGUUGUUCGGAAUUACUGGGCGUAAAGCGCACGUAGGCGGAUCGGUCAGUUAGGGGUGAAAUCCCAGAGCUCAACUCUGGAACUGCCUUUAAUACUGCCGAUCUGGAGUCCGGAAGAGGUGAGUGGAAUUCCGAGUGUAGAGGUGAAAUUCGUAGAUAUUCGGAGGAACACCAGUGGCGAAGGCGGCUCACUGGUCCGGUACUGACGCUGAGGUGCGAAAGCGUGGGGAGCAAGCAGG